GCACUACUGUGGAGUCCCAUAAUUGGACGAAACAGCCGUCCAGUGC
rnacentral:hammerhead_ribozyme from 1 species